GGAUCCCAGGAGCUUGCUCCUGGGUGAGAGUGGCGAACGGGUGAGUAAUGCGUGACCGACCUGCCCCAUACACCGGAAUAGCUCCUGGAAACGGGUGGUAAUGCCGGAUGCUCCAGUUGACCGCAUGGUCCUCUGGGAAAGCUUUUGCGGUAUGGGAUGGGGUCGCGUCCUAUCAGCUUGAUGGCGGGGUAACGGCCCACCAUGGCUUCGACGGGUAGCCGGCCUGAGAGGGCGACCGGCCACAUUGGGACUGAGAUACGGCCCAGACUCCUACGGGAGGCAGCAGUGGGGAAUAUUGCACAAUGGGCGCAAGCCUGAUGCAGCGACGCCGCGUGCGGGAUGACGGCCUUCGGGUUGUAAACCGCUUUUGACUGGGAGCAAGCCCUUCGGGGUGAGUGUACCUUUCGAAUAAGCACCGGCUAACUACGUGCCAGCAGCCGCGGUAAUACGUAGGGUGCAAGCGUUAUCCGGAAUUAUUGGGCGUAAAGGGCUCGUAGGCGGUUCGUCGCGUCCGGUGUGAAAGUCCAUCGCUUAACGGUGGAUCCGCGCCGGGUACGGGCGGGCUUGAGUGCGGUAGGGGAGACUGGAAUUCCCGGUGUAACGGUGGAAUGUGUAGAUAUCGGGAAGAACACCAAUGGCGAAGGCAGGUCUCUGGGCCGUCACUGACGCUGAGGAGCGAAAAGCGUGGGGAGCGAACAGGAUUA
rnacentral:rRNA from 1 species